rnacentral:rRNA from 1 species
GACGAACGCUGGCGGUGUGCUUAACACAUGCAAGUCGAACGGAAAGGCCCUGCUUUUGUGGGGUGCUCGAAUGGCGAACGGGUGAGUAACACGUGAGUAACCUGCCCUUGACUUUGGGAUAACUUCAGGAAACUGGGGCUAAUACCGGAUAGGAGCUCCUGCUGCAUGGUGGGGGUUGGAAAGUUUCGGCGGUUGGGGAUGGACUCGCGGCUUAUCAGCUUGUUGGUGGGGUAGUGGCUUACCAAGGCUUUGACGGGUAGCCGGCCUGAGAGGGUGACCGGCCACAUUGGGACUGAGAUACGGCCCAGACUCCUACGGGAGGCAGCAGUGGGGAAUAUUGCACAAUGGGCGGAAGCCUGAUGCAGCAACGCCGCGUGCGGGAUGACGGCCUUCGGGUUGUAAACCGCUUUCGCCUGUGACGAAGCGUGAGUGACGGUAAUGGGUAAAGAAGCACCGGCUAACUACGUG